rnacentral:rRNA from 1 species
GACGAACGCUGGCGGCGUGCUUAACACAUGCAAGUCGAACGGAAAGGCCCUGCUUUUGUGGGGUGCUCGAGUGGCGAACGGGUGAGUAACACGUGAGUAACCUGCCCUUGACUUUGGGAUAACUUCAGGAAACUGGGGCUAAUACCGGAUAGGAGCUCCUGCUGCAUGGUGGGGGUUGGAAAGUUUCGGCGGUUGGGGAUGGACUCGCGGCUUAUCAGCUUGUUGGUGGGGUAGUGGCUUACCAAGGCUUUGACGGGUAGCCGGCCUGAGAGGGUGACCGGCAAAAUUGGGAAGGAGUACCGCCCCGGAGUCAUAGGGGGGCACGCAGUGGGGAAUAACGAAGAAGGGGUGGAAGCGGGAGUGGGCAGCCCGUGGUGAGGAAUGGGGGCUUUGGGUUUAAAAGCCCUUUUCCCCUGCAACAAAGGGGGGGGGAGGAAAAUGGGUAAAGAAGCACGGGCGAGAAUGGGG